CGUAGGGUGCGAGCGUUAAUCGGAAUUACUGGGCGUAAAGCGUGCGCAGGCGGCGCCGCAAGUCGAGUGUGAAAUCCCCGAGCUUAACUUGGGAAUUGCGCUCGAAACUACGGUGCUGGAGUGUGGCAGAGGGAGGUGGAAUUCCACGUGUAGCGGUGAAAUGCGUAGAGAUGUGGAGGAACACCGAUGGCGAAGGCAGCCUCCUGGGCCAACACUGACGCUCAUGCACGAAAGCGGGGGGAGCAAACAGGAUUAGAUACCCUGGUAGUCCACGCCCUAAACGAUGAUGACUAGUUGUUGGGGGAGUUAAAUCCCUUAGUAACGCAGCUAACGCGUGAAGUCAUCCGCCUGGGGAGUACGGUCGCAAGAUUA
rnacentral:rRNA from 1 species